rnacentral:tRNA from 2 species
GCGGGGAUAGUUGAGUGGCCCAACGUGGGCUUCCCAAGCCCAAAACGCGGGUUCGAUUCCCGUUCCCCGCUCCA